GCAAAUCCAGGGUCUGAUCCAAAGCCCACUGUAGUCAAUGGGAAUUGUUCCACUGAUUUCAAAGGGCUUUGGAUCAGGCCUUUAGUGC
rnacentral:pre_miRNA from 1 species